GGGGCCGAUUAGGAUUCGACGCCGGUGAUGAAACUCUAGGGGCAUGCCGACUUGGUAACAGAAGUCGUAAAUCCACUGUUGCAACUUUCUAUAGUUGCCAAUGACGAUACCUACGGCCAAAAGGAUCUGAUGGCUGCUUAAUUGCAGUCACUAGACUAAUUGGUUCUGGCAGCUUCGGCUCCAGCAAUCACCAGGGGAUGCCUGUAAACCCGAAGUGAUUGUCAUACAGAACAGGAUCGCCGUGCAGUACGCUGUGGACGAAUCGGCUAAAACUUACACAGCUCGCCCAAAGCACCCUGCCCGUCGGGUCGCUGAGGGUUAACUUAAUAGACACGGCUAAGCAUGUAGGCCCGAAAGCGGAGUACUGGCGGACGGGGGUUCAAAUCCCCCCGGCUCCACCA
rnacentral:tmRNA from 1 species